UACGGGGGGGGGCAAGCGUUGUUCGGAAUUACUGGGCGUAAAGGGCUCGUAGGCGGCCAACUAAGUCAGACGUGAAAUCCCUCGGCUUAACCGGGGGAACUGCGUCUGAUACUGGAUGGCUUGAAUCCGGGAGAGGGAUGCGGAAUUCCAGGUGUAGCGGUGAAAUGCGUAGAUAUCUGGAGGAACACCGGUGGCGAAGGCGGCAUCCUGGACCAACACUGACGCUGAGUGAGCGAAAGCCAGGGGAGCAAACGGG
rnacentral:rRNA from 1 species